ensembl:lncRNA
CACGGCCCUUCGCACUCCUUCUUUCUUUCUUCCCUUCUUCUUUCUUUCUUUUUUUCCCUUCUUUCUUUUCUUUCUUUUUCCUUCUUCCCUUCUUCCUUACUUUCUUUCCCUCUUCCUUUCUUUCCUACUUUAUUUCCUAUUUUUUUCUUCCUUUGUUUCUUCCUUUCAUACUUCCUUCCUUCCUUUCUUCCCUUCUUCUUCCUCCCUUCCUUCCUUCUUUCUCCUGUCCUUUUCUUCAUUUUUUUAAAUUUCUUUUUCACUUCUUUCUUUUCACUUUUCAUUUCUUUCUCUUCUUUCUUCAUUUCUUUUUCUUUCUUUCCUUCCUUUCUUUUUCUUUCCUUUCUUCAUUUCUUUCUUUCCCUUCCUUUCCCUUCCCUCCUUUCCUUUUUUUCCUUCUUUCUUCAUUUGUUUCGUUUCUUUCUUCAUUUCUUUUUCUUUCUUUUCUUCCUUCCUUCCUUUCUUCCCCUUUUUCUAUCUUCUCUUUCGUUCUUCAUUCCUUUAUUUCUCUUUAUUUUUCAUGAAAACUUGCAGCUACAUCAAUCCUAUUUUUUAAAAACACCAGGGUAAUAACUAGCAUCCCCACAGCCCUGGGAAAGGAAGCUGCCUGCUGCGGGACAGCCGGGUCAAGAUGGUCCCUUCCUCAGAGUUUCCUUGCAGUUGGGUCAGGCAGUUCUGCUCUGUGUGCCAGCCUUUGGGAAGCCCAUUUUCAGGCAUUUGGAGCUCAGUCUCCCAAAUUUUCUCCAACCCUGCCUGCCUGCUCCCUCCCCCAGGGGUGUCAGCAUGCAGAGGAUUAACUCCACCUGGAAGAAAAGCUUUUCUACCACCAUUCCCCAAACUCUCUGCUUUGGCAUUGCAGGCUCCAUGGGUUACCCCACCUGUGCACUGCCUGAAGAUUGUCCCUGGGAUUUUCCAGGCCACACAAGCUGAGAGGUCUGCAGAGAGCCCCUGCAAUUAGCCCCAGCAGCUGAUGCAAGGAGACACGGCAGCAGUGCUGCCCCACUGUGCUGUGCUCCUGCACAGCUGCCGGGAUGCACACACCCAGCUUGCUUUAAUAGGGCAGUUGCCAUUCCUAGAGCAGGGCAUUCUUCAGUGGUUUAAUUGGAGUAACUCCACCUAAAUCCCCCAUACUCAUCUGGUUUGUGCAGUAAUGCCUCCUGCCGUGGCCCCUGCAGUAGCAGUACCUUAAAGGUGCAAUGUUUAAAGGACAUCCAGGAUUGGAGGAGACACUAAAGACUGCAUAAGAAAACUGUGUGAGAAACAAUAUACAGCUUCUUGCCAACAGCAGUCAGAAAUGCAGGAACACUGGAAAUAGAGCUAUCAGAAUGCAGGUGUAUCUACAGUACAGGCAGCCCGUGUGUGAAUCCAAGAUUCUAGAAGAAAAUCACUUUGUAAAACUAAUUUUAUCUGAGAGUAAUUAUUGGUUUUCUUCCAGCCCUCCUUCCAUGCUCUGAGUGGACUUAAACACAGAGAGCACCAGCCUGGUGGGCUUUAAAACAGUGCCUUCCUUGCUAGGAGCACACCUCUGCAGAAUGGUGCCAUUGCUGCCUUUAAAGAACCCUAAUGGGACCCAUCUGCCCAAAAGAGAUGUGUCCUCUCCCUGGGCACUGCCCACUUGCUCUGUGCCCUGUGUGAUGGAAACACGGCCAGUGGGCAUGGCCGUGCAUGGUGAGGUCAUUUCCCACAGUCCCUCCCACACAUCAUUCUCCAUGCUGGUGUCAGGGGGCUGGAUGCCCUUCACUUUAUAUCUGAACAGUUAUAAAAGGGCACUUUGAUUUUCCUUCUGCUAGAGCACAUCACCACGAGUCGUUGGCUAUCUGUCGUGCAGCAGUGAAUUCCAAAGGUUCGGUACUGGCAGUGUCUGCACUCACUGUCCUCUUCUCACUGCGUUG